rnacentral:rRNA from 1 species
GACGAACGCUGGCGGCGUGCUUAACACAUGCAAGUCGAACGGAAAGGCCCUGCUUUUGUGGGGUGCUCGAGUGGCGAACGGGUGAGUAACACGUGAGUAACCUGCCCUUGACUUUGGGAUAACUUCAGGAAACUGGGGCUAAUACCGGAUAGGAGCUCCUGCUGCAUGGGGGGGGUGGGAAAGUUUCGGCGGUUGGGGAUGGACUCGCGGCUUAUCAGCUUGUUGGUGGGGUAGUGGCUUACCAAGGCUUUGACGGGUAGCCGGCCUGGGAGGGUGACCGGCCACAUUGGGACUGAGAUACGGCCCAGACUCCUACGGGAGGCAGCAGUGGGGAAUAUUGCCCAAUGGGCGGAAGCCUGAUGCAGCAACGCCGCGUGCGGGAUGACGGCCUUCGGGUUGUAAACCGCUUUCGCCUGUGACGAAGCGUGAGUGACGGUAAUGGGUAAAGAAGCACCGGCUAACUACGUG